GGAGGGAUGGCAGAGUGGACUAUCGCGGCGGUCUUGAAAACCGCUAUGUCCCUAAGGACAUCGUGGGUUCGAAUCCCACUCCCUCCG
rnacentral:tRNA from 1 species